rnacentral:tRNA from 1 species
CUAAGGAGAAUGUUCCGCCUCAAAAACGGAACUAGGUCGUGCCGGGUCACACCGGCGAUGCCCCUAUCGCACAAACCAGUUUUUUGGACGCGCGAGCGACCCUUAGUGCUUGUCUUGGAGGCAGCGUGACCGCUGGCUGGGGCUGUAGCUCAGUUGGUAGAGCGGUAGCUUUGCAAGCUAUAGGUCAGGAGUUCGAAUCUCCUCAGCUCCACCAAGCAAUCAAGCGCCUGUAGCUCAGUUGGUUAGAGCAUGCGCUUGAUAAGCGCAGGGUCACUGGUUCAAAUCCAGUCAGGCGCACCAAUUUCGUCGGUGGCCGCUCGUUUGGGGCCGCGGAUGAGUUCUUUGAAAACUAUACAUGGAAUCAGCAGGGCAGUAACAGAAUCGUCGAGUUCCAUGGAGCAAUCCAUGGACCGGUUUUGAUCAAGCUACAAAGGGCACAAG